rnacentral:rRNA from 1 species
AUUGAACGCUGGCGGCAGGCCUAACACAUGCAAGUCGAGCGGAGCGGCGGACGGGUGAGUAAUGCCUAGGACUCUGCCUGGUAGUGGGGGAGAACGUCCGGAAACGGGCGCUAAUACUGCAUACUAUCAGAUUAGCCUAGGUCGGAUUAGCUAGUUGGUGGGGUAAGGGCCUACCAAGGCGACGAUCCGUAACUGGUCUGAGAGGAUGAUCAGUCACACUGGAACUGAGACACGGUCCAGACUCCUACGGGAGGCAGCAGUGGGGAAUAUUGGACAAUGGGCGAAAGCCUGAUCCAGCCAUGCCGCGUGUGUGAAGAAGGUCUUCGGAUUGUAAAGCACUUUAAGUUGGGAGGCGUUACCAACAGAAGAAGCACCGGCUAACUUCGUGCCAGCAGCCGCGGUAAUUC